rnacentral:lncRNA from 1 species
GCGGUGGCCGCUGGAGCGGCCUUGCGGCAGGGACAGAUGGGAGCUUUGUGGUUCAUGAUAUUCCCUCUGGCUCUUACGUAGUGGAAGUUAUUUCUCCAGCUUACAAGUUUGACCCUGUCCGAGUCGAUAUCACUUCAAAAGGAAAAAUGCGAGCAAGAUAUGUGAAUUACAUCAAAACGUCAGAAGUGGUCAGAUUACCGUAUCCUCUGCAAAUGAAAUCUUCAGGUCCACCUUCUUACUUUAUUAAGAGGGAAUCAUGGGGCUGGACAGACUUCCUGAUGAACCCAAUGGUUAUGAUGAUGGUUCUCCCAUUAUUGAUAUUUGUGCUUCUGCCCAAAGUGGUCAACACAAG